UACGUAGGGCGCGAGCGUUGUCCGGAAUUAUUGGGCGUAAAGAGCUCGUAGGCGGCCUGUUGCGUCCGCUGUGAAAUCCCAGGGCUCAACUCUGGGCGUGCGGUCGAUACGGGCAUCACUGGAGUUCGGCAGGGGAGACUGGAAUUCCUGGUGUAGCGGUGAAAUGCGCAGAUAUCAGGAGGAACACCGGUGGCGAAGGCGGGUCUCUGGGCCGAUACUGACGCUGAGGAGCGAAAGCAUGGGUAGCGAACAGG
rnacentral:rRNA from 1 species